ACAGCAGUCGCCACGGGAAUACAGAGGGUGCGAGCGUUAAUCGGAUUUACUGGGCAUAAAGCGUGCGUAGGCGGCUUCUUAAGUCGGAUGUGAAAUCCCUGAGCUUAACUUAGGAAUUGCAUUCGAUACUGGGAAGCUAGAGUAUGGGAGAGGAUGGUAGAAUUCCAGGUGUAGCGGUGAAAUGCGUAGAGAUCUGGAGGAAUACCGAUGGCGAAGGCAGCCAUCUGGCCUAAUACUGACGCUGAGGUACGAAAGCAUGGGGAGCAAACAGGAUUAGAUACCCGCGUAGUCCCUGUCUCUUAUAC
rnacentral:rRNA from 1 species